GAAGAUUUUUAAUGUCUCAGACUCCCUGAAUUCCCCAGGCCAAUACCAAAGGCUGAGAUGUAUGCAGUUGGUCAUGACAUUCACCUGGGAUUUGCUGAAGCCAAAAUAAAAUCAGAUAAAGCUCCAUGUUGAAUUUGGAUUUCCUGUGUCUCAGACUGUGGAAGAGCCAGGUACCUUUACCAAACAAGGGAUGUGCCUCUGAAGUUACACACAUCUGAACAAGGUGAUCCAAUAAAUGUGUUAUGGAGCAGAAUUAGGAAAAUGACUGCAGUAGGAACCCAGAUGGAUAAAUGUAAGUCCCCUGACUAUGAUGAGCACUUCCCUGUAGCUCUCUGCUGUCUUUUCCCCCU
rnacentral:lncRNA from 1 species